GGUAGUCAAUUUACUAACUAAAUUAAACUGGGUUUACUAAUUAAAAUGAAGAUGGUACCAAUCUAGCAGUUCUUAGCUUAAAUCAAAUCUUCACCGAAUUUUCCGAGCUAUUCUGCGUUUGAAUCAGCGACUUCAGAAUCCCAAAAUAGUUUUUUGCUCAUAGGUUAAACUCAACAACUAAUCAAUGAACGGAAUAUUUACAUCAUGUGCUAGGCUAGAAAAGACAAAUAAUUAAAUCACUAAAUCGAUAAUUAAACUAAAAAAAUACUUGAAUAAUCACACUUUGCUACCAUGAUAACCAUAAGACAAUAUCAAAUGACAACUAUUCUGAAAAAGAACUUUUCUAAAUCAAUGUUCCUUCUUUAAAUCAUUACGGCAAAUAGCUAUUAUAGCAAAUGUGGCUAAUGGAUUUCGAUUCGACUCAUGCCAAAUCCUAUAGCUAGCCAUAGGAAUUUGGAUCUGUCAACUGUAUACAAAGAAAACUAUGAAACUGAUGCACUAUGUAAUUCUGCAAUUAGAGUGAUGUACUGGCUUUUUCAGAGAGGACUCCGACCAACUGGUGGUCAAAUCCAUCCAUCCACCAUAUCUCGAUGCCAUUUUAAGCACAAAUCAUCAGUUAGACAAUAACAACCUAAAGAGUGUGGAGAACUAAUUAACGCUACACUUUAGCAAGUUAAAUUAGUUUCAAAAGACGCAGAACAAAGAUCAACAAAGAAUGAAUACUAAACAGUUUAAAGCACACUGAAUAUAUGGAACCAACCAUGAACAACACAAAACCAAGUAAGACAUACGAACCAUACUAGUAAAGCAAACAUCCAUAUAUCUAUAAGGUAUCAGUAUUGAGCAGACAGACUACACAUAUGGUGAAGUAUGUUAUCCCUUCAAGUUUAUGACUAUAAGAUAGAAACAAAACGUACCUUAGUGCAAAAAUUAACUAGAGAAGAUAAGUAAGGGCCUGAAACUAGAUGAUGAGACUCAGAAUUCCAGCAAAGGAAACAAACAGCAGCAGAUGUUUUCCAACAAUUGACACAGCCUCUAAAUAGAAAAUAGGAAAAUUUCACCCCUCGAACUCGAACAACAGCUUUCAAAAGCGACGAACUUUACUUAAGUCAACUUCACUUGAACGAAAAUCAGAGAAGGAAAAUGGAACCCUUUUUUUUUUGAAAUUUCAGAUUUCUGAAGCAACUAAGAACAAACGAAAAACUGGAAAUUUUUUAGCAUUUUCUUUUAGAAGCGAGAUGAAGAGGGAAAUAAUAAAACCUAAGAAAACUCAGAACAAAACCUCUAUUUUUUUUUCUUCCUCUGAUUUUUUACCCUCGAAUUCUCCAAAAUUCUCCUCCUCAAAUCUCUGAAACCUCACUAUAUAUACUCGAUUCUCGAAGCUUCUCACCUCUUCUCCAAGAAAUCCCCAAAUUUUAUCCCAAAAUCCGAAAAAAACAUCAAAACCAACCUCACAUGGAACGAAACUUGGACAAAUGAAAGGCGUGGAUAUGAUUUCUCACAUCCAACCGCUCCUAUUUACCCGAGAUUCAUCCCCCGAAAUCAAGAGCGCGUGAAAAUGGAUAAAUGCUGAAAAUAUUCUGUCAGAGACGGUAUGCCACGUUGGAGAGAGAGGAGGAGACCAUGUGCGUUGAGUUUGGGGGACGAAUUCAUCCGAAAACUCAGAUGAGUUAAGCGAGCAGAAAACUCAGACGAGUUGAGCGAGCAGAAACGGGCUUGGGGGAAUAGCAGCGGCGUUUUGGGUUCUUCACAAAUUAGGGUUAU
rnacentral:lncRNA from 1 species